GAUCAUUUGAUACAGUUCUAUGUAUUUCUUUAUCUUUAAAACUUGUAUCGUCUGCAAUGAUUUUACCACUGAUGUCCAGACUAGCGAUGCCAUUUAUAAAGAGUGAAAACAAAGUAGACCCUUGAACUGAUCCUUGCUGUAUCCCACAUUUUGUCGACUUUCAAGAAGAUGUCGUCUUAUUAACUCUUACAAGCUGACAUCUGUUGUUACAAUUUAAAAACUCGUCGCCCGAGUCCAUGUGAAUAUAGAUGGAGGAAUAUGUGAGGUUUCGAAAUUAAAUCCAGCAUUUAUUUUUAUUUAUCAAAAUAAAUAGGAUGUUAACAGGCCGAAACCAUGACCCCAAAAAACUUAAAUUUUUUAUUCUAAUAAAUUGAGGCUUAGGCAUACCAUCUUGGUGAAUCUAAAGGU